CUACGGGGGGCUGCAGUGGGGAAUAUUGGACAAUGGGGGAAACCCUGAUCCAGCAAUGCCGCGUGUGUGAAGAAGGCCUGCGGGUUGUAAAGCACUUUCGGUUGGGAGGACUGCUUCUAGCACUAAUAUUGUUGGAAGUUGACGUUACCUUCAGAAGAAGCACCGGCUAACUCCGUGGCCAGCAGCCGCGGUAAUACGGAGGGUGCAAGCGUAAAUCGGAAUUACUGGGCGUAAAGCGCGCGUAGGCGGCUAGAUCAGUCGGGUGUGAAAGCCCCGGGGUAACCGGGGAACUGCAUCCGAUACUGGCUAGCUUGAGUACAGGAGAGGAGAGUGGAAUUCCACAUGUAGCGGUGAAAUGCGUAGAUAUGUGGAGGAACACCAAUGGCGAAGGCAGCUCUCUGGCCUGAUACUGACGCUGAGGUGCGAAAGCGUGGGGAGCAAACAGGAUUAGAUACCCCGGUAGUC
rnacentral:rRNA from 1 species